rnacentral:rRNA from 1 species
UGCCAGCAGCCGCGGUAAUACGAAGGGUGCUAGCGUUGUUCGGAAUUACUGGGCGUAAAGAGCAUGUAGGCGGAUGAAUUAGUCAGAGGUGAAAGCCCGGGGCUCAACCCCGGAAGUGCAUUGGAAACUGGCGAACUUGAGUACGGGAGAGGAAAGUGGAAUUCCGAGUGUAGGGGUGAAAUCCGUAGAUAUUCGGAGGAACACCAGUGGCGAAGGCGGCUUUCUGGACUGAUACUGACACUGAGGUACGAAAGCGUGGGUAGCAAACAGGAUUAGAUA